rnacentral:rRNA from 1 species
UACGUAGGGUGCAAGCGUUUAAUCGGAAUUACUGGGCGUAAAGCGUGCGCAGGCGGUUUUGUAAGUCUGUCGUGAAAUCCCCGGGCUCAACCUGGGAAUGGCGAUGGAGACUGCAAGGCUAGAGUUUGGCAGAGGGGGGGUAGAAUUCCACGUGUAGCAGUGAAAUGCGUAGAUAUGUGGAGGAACACCGAUGGCGAAGGCAGCCCCCUGGGUCAAAACUGACGCUCAUGCACGAAAGCGUGGGGAGCAAACAGG